rnacentral:rRNA from 1 species
CAUCCAAGGAAGGCAGCAGGCACGCAAAUUACCCAAUCCCGGCUCGGGGAGGUAGUGACGAAAAAUAACGAUGCGGGACUCUUCUGAGUCUGCGUAAUCGGAAUGAGCACAAUCUAAAUCCUUUAGCAACAACCGAUUGGAGGGCAAGUCUGGUGCCAGCAGCCGCGGUAAUUCCAGCUCCAAUAGCGUAUAUUAAAGUUGUUGCGGUUAAAAAGCUCGUAGUCUGAGUUCAGUUCCGGACUGGUCGGGGAGGUCACCGCCCGGUGCUUGCCCGUAUCAGGUUCCGAACCGCCCACCCGCCGCGUGCGGGGGCCAAGCCGGUUCAGCCGGGGUGCUCUUGACCGAGUGUCCCGCGCGGCCGGCCGCUUCACCUUGAACAAAUGAGAGUGCUCAAAGCAGGCUACUCUUGACACUAAAGCCCGAAUGUUAACUGCAUGGAAUGAUGGAAGAUGAUCUCGGUUCCAUUUUGCUGGGCCCCUUUGGGAAUCCGAGUUAAUGAUAAACAGGGACUGUCGGGGGCAUCCGUACUACGACGCGAGAGGUGAAAUUCAGUGACCGUCGUAGGACGAACAACAGCGAAAGCAUUUGCCAAGAAUGUCUUCGUUGAUCAAGAACGAAAGUUAGAGGAUCGAAGGCGAUCAGAUACCGCCCUAGUUCUAACCCUAAACGAUGCUGACCAGCUAUUCGUUAGCGUUAUUCCCAUGACGUGGCGAGACGCCCCCGGGAAACCUCGAGUCUUUGAGUUCCGGGGGUAGUAGGGUUGCAAAACUGAAACUUAAAGGAAUUGACGGAAGGGCACCACCAGGAGGUGGAGCCUGCGGCUUAAUUUGACUCAACACGGGAAACCUCACUCAGGCCCGGACACCAGAAGGAUUGACAGAUUAAGAGCUCUUUCUCAAUUUGGUGGGUGGUGGUGCAUGGCCGUUCUUAGUUGGUGGAGUGAUUUGUCUGGUUAAUUCCGGUAACGAACGAGACUCUGGCCUACUAACUAGUGGGCGGGUGUUCCGGUAAGGGGCCCCGCCCGACAAAUGUCUUCUUAGAGGGAUGAGCAGCGAGUAUAGCUGCAGGAGAUUGAGCAAUAACAGGUCUGUGAUGCCCUUAGAUGUCCUGGGCCGCACGCGCGCUACACUGAAUGGGUUAGCGGGUUUUCCUUCUCCGAGAGGAGCGGGAAAUCGCGUCAAAACCAUUCGUGAUAGGGAUUGGGGCUUGCAAUUGUUUCCCAUGAACGAGGAAUUCCCAGUAAGCGCAAGUCAUCAGCUUGCGUUGAUUAAGUCUCUGCCCUUUGUACACACCG